AGCUGGUCGGGACCCAAAGCAACCGGCAGCCCUAGUCACGAUUCAGUGACGUCAUGUUCUCGCGUCUUUUUCUCUUGUCCCGCUCCAUAGUGAGGUGAGAGGCUGGACUUUACCAAACGGGAUUUGAGAAGAGCGGGGUCGCCCAAGCCCCCCGCGUGUGGCCAGGAAAGUGGAAUUCUUGAAUUGUUAGGUGGGAAAAGGGGCGCAUUUGACCGGGGUAGGGCCUCGGCCUUCAAGUGAGGCUUGAAGUCUGAAACGAGAGGAAAGCGGGUCCGGCAAACCCAAAAACUUGGGCAAGGCUUUGAGGGAAGGAUUAGCUGUGGUUUAGGAGACCAGUCCUCUCAUUUGUAACUGCUGAGAGAGUAAAGUCUGCCCAGCCAUUCAUCAGGCUGGAUAGCAGAAUCUGAUAAAGCCUGUUGUAACGUUACCAGGAAACACUGUUUCAUUCAAGGACAGAACGCAACUGAAAAAUAAGAGUAACAGCCCCCAUCUCUGGGUGAGAACUACAUUCUUCCACUCUGAGAAAUCUCGUUCUUUGAAGUCCAUCAGUUCCUCCACAGUACCUGGGACAGGAUGUCUUGCGUUCUCAAAAUCAUCGUUCUGCAAAAUAAUCUUUCUGCAUUCUCUCUGACCCUGAGACUCAGAAAAUAGAGAGAACAAAAAAGAAACUGCCACCUGUUAACAGAUAUUGAAAUGACUACAGAAGGAAUGCCUAUCUGACCUUGAACUUGGAGCUAGAUAUGGUAAGUGAAAACAACUUAAUUGGUGACUUUUCUAAAUUAUAGGAAUAAGAGCAUGCAUGUUUGUAGUGGACAGUUUAAGGUAUAGACCACAGUGGACAUUUGUGGAUUCUGGCAAUCCAACACACAAUUUCCCCUGCCUAUUAGAAACCCAAGCGCCCAUUUCUGGAAAAUUUCCUCAGUAUGAACUAUCUUAGUUAGAGGGCAAUUCUCAAGAGCAUGCCUCUCAUUAUGGAAGCCAAAGUCAGAUAUUUCUUGUAUUCAUUCCUUAGCAGAGUCAAAAGUUGGCAAACAAUUUAAGCCUACAAUUAGACACCUAUUUCCAAGAUUCUGAAUCUUUAGUGAAUGAUAGGACGAUGGAAGGAAAACUGUAUUUAUGGCAGCAGCAAGUAGUCAAGACUGUUCCUGCACUGUAACUGACUCUAAAGUUUCUGCAGCCUAGAGAACCCCUGGUCCCUGCUCACUUGGCAUGCCUGUUCACCUUCAAGCAUGUGGUCAACACUGUACACUCCUGGUAUCUUUGCAAUAAACUGUUUUUACUUAAGACAAAAUAGGUUUCUGUUGCUUGUAACCAAGAAUCCCGGCAGAUUCACUCCACUAACAAUACCAAAAGUAUUUGUACAAUAAUUUUUAAAAAAUUUUUUCUAAAUUAAGGUAUCAUUUAUAUACACUCUUAUGAAGGUUGCACAUGAAAAACAAUGUGAUUACUACAUUCACCCAUAUUACCGAGUCCCCAACAUACCCCAUUAGAGUCACUGUCCAUCAGUGUAGUAAGAUGCCAUAGAGUCACUACUUGUCUUCUUUCUGCUACACAGUCUUCCCCAUGAACGCCCCCACGUCAUGUGUACUAAUCAUAAUACCCCUCAAUCCCUUCUCCCUCCCUGCCACCUGCCCUUCCCCAUCCCUCCCCUUUGGUAACCACUAGUCCCUUUUUGGAGUCUGUGACUCUGCUGCUCUUUUGUUCCUUCAGUUUAACUUUGUUGUUAUACUCCCCAAAUGAGAGCAAUCAUUUGGUAUUUGUCUUUCUCUGCCUGACUUAUUUCACUGAGCAUAAUAAAUAUAUUCUAGCUGCAUCCAUGUUGUUGUAAAUGACAGGACUCGUUUCUUUCUUAUGGCUGAAUAGUAUUCCGUUGUGUAUAAGUACAUAUUCUUUACCCAUUCACCUACUGAUAUGCACUUAGGUUGCUUCCAUAUCUUGGCUAUUAUAAAUAGUGCUGUAAUAAACAUACGGGUGCAUAUCUUUUUGAAUCUGAGAACUUGUUUUCUUUGGAUAAAUUCCCAGGAGUGGAAUUCCUGGGUCAAAUGGUAUUUCUAUUUUGAGUUUUUUGAGGAACCUCCAUAUUGCUUUCCACAGUGGUUGAACUAAUUUACAUUCUCACCAGCACUGUAAGAGGGUUCCCCUUUCUCCACAUCCAUGCCAACAUUUGCUGUUGUUUGUCUUUUGGAUGUUGACCAUCCUAACUGGUGUGAGGUGAUAUCUCAAUGUGGUUUUAAUUAGCAUUUCUCUGAUAAUUAGCAAUGUGGAGCAUCUUUUCAUGUGCCUGUUGGCCAUCUGAAUUUCAUCUUUGGAGAAUUGUCUGUUCAUAUUCUCUGCCCAUUUUUAAUCGGGUUAUUUGCUUUUGGGGUGUUGAGGCAUGUGAGGUCUUUAUAUAUUUUGGAUGAAAACCCCCUGUUGGAUAUGUCGUGUACAAAUAUAUUCUCCAAUACUGUAGGAUGCCUUCUUGUUCUACUGAUGGUGUCCUUCUCUGUACAGCUUUUUAGUUUGAUGUAGUCUGUUUUGUUCAUUUUUGCUUUUGUUUCCCUUGCCCAAGGAGAUGUGUUCAGGAAAAAGUUGCUCAUGUUUAUAUUCAAGAGAGUAUUGCCUGUGUUUUCUUCUAAGAGUUUUAUGGUUUCAUGACUUACAUUCAGGUCUUUGAUCCAUUUCAAGUUUAUUUUUGUGUAUGGGGUUAGACAGUAAUCCAGUUUCAUUAUCCUGCAUGUAGCUGUCCAGUUUUACCAAUACCAGUUGUUGAAGAGGCUGUCAUUUCCUCAUUGUAUGUUCAAGGCUCCUUUUUCAUAUAUUAAUUGACCAUAUAUGCUUGAGUUAAUAUCUGUGCUCUCUAGUCUGUUCCAUUGGUCUAUGGGUCUGUUCUUGUGCCAGUACCAAAUUGUCUUGAUUACUGUGGCUUUGUAGUAGAGCUUGAAGUCAGGGAGUGUAAUCUCCAAGCUUUGUUCUUUCUUCUCAGGAUUGCGUUGGCUAUUCGGGUCUUUUGUGGUUCCAUAUGAAUUUUAGAACUACUUGCUCUAGUUUGUUAAAGAAUGCUGUUGGUACUUUGAUAGGGAUUGCAUUGAAUCUGUAGAUUGCUUUAGACAAGAGGCCAUUUGGACAAUAUUAUUCUUUCCAUUUAUUGGUAUCUUCUUUAAUUUCUCUCAUGAGUGUCUUGUAGUUUUCAGAGUAUAGAUCUUUCACUUCCUUGGUUAUGUUUAUUCCUAGGUAUUUUAUUCUUUUUGAUGCUAUUGUGAAUGGAAUUGUUUUCCUCAUUUCUCUUUCUGCUAGUUCAUCAUUAGUGUAUAGGAUGCAACAGAUUUCUGUGUACUAAUUUUGUAUCCUGCAACUUUGCUGAAUUCAGAUAUUAGAUCUAGUAGUUUUGGAGUGGAGUCUUUAGGGUUUUUUAUGUACAAUAUCAUGUCAUCUGCAAGCAGGGACAGUUUAACUUCUUCCUUGCCAAUCUGGAUGCCUUUUAUUUCUUUGUGUUGUCUGACUGCCAUGGCUAGGACCUCCAGAACUAUGCUGAAUAAAAGUGGGGAGAGUGGGUAUCCUUGUCUUGUAACCAAUCUUAAAGGAAAAGCUUUUAGCUUCUCAUUGUUAAGUAUAAUGUUGGCUGUGGGUUUGUCAUAUAUGGCCUUUAUUAUGUUGAGGUACUUGCCCUCUAUACCCAUUUUGUUGAGAGUUUUUAUUAUGAAUGGAUGUUGAAUUUUGUCGAAUGCUUUUUCAGCAUCUAUGGAGAUGAUCAUGUGGUUCUUGUCCUUCUUUUUGUUGACGUGGUGGAUGAUGUUGAUGGAUUUUCAAAUGUUGUACCAUCUUUGCAUCCCUGGGAUAAAUCCUACUUGAUUAUGAUGGAUGAUCCUUUUGAUGUAUUUUUGAAUUCAGUUUGCUAAUAUUUUGUUGAGUAUUUUUGCAUCUAUGUUCAUCAGGGAUAUAGGUCUGUAAUUUUCUUUUUGUGGUGUCUUUGCCUGACUUUGGUAUUAGAGUGAUGCUGGCCUUGUAGAAUGAGUUUGGGAGUAUUCCCUCCUCUUCUACUUUUUGGAAAACUUUAAGGAGGAUGGGUAUUCGGUCUUCACUAAAUGUUUGAUAAAAAUCAGCAGUGAAACCAUCUGGUCCAGGUGUUUUGUUCCUAGGUACUUUUUUGAUUAUCAAUUCAAUUUUUUUGCUCCUAAUUGGUCUGUUCAGAUUUUCUGUUUCUUCCUGGGUCAGUCUUGGAAGGUUGUAUUUUUCUAGAAAUUUGUCCAUUUCCUCUAGGUUAUCCAGUUUGUUAGCAUAUAAUUUUUCAUAGUAUUCUCUAAUAAUUCUUUGUAUUUCUGUGGUGUCUGUAGUGAUUUUUCCUCUCUCAUUUCUGAUUCUGUUGAUGUGUGUUGACUCUCUUUUUCUCUUAAUAAGUCUGGCUAGAGGCUUAUCUAUUUUGUUUAUUUUCUCGAAGAACCAGCUCUUGGUUUCAUUGAUUCUUUCUAUUGUUUUAUUCUUCUUGAUUUUAUUUAUUUCUGCUCUAAUCUUUAUUAUGUCCCUCCUUCUACUGACUUAGGGCCUCAUUUGUUCUUCUUUCCUAAGGUAGGCCUGUAUUGCAGUAUACUUCCCUCUUAGCACAACCUUUGCUUUGUCCCACAGAUUUUGCAGUGUUCAAUUACUGUUAUUCGUCUCCAUAUAUCACUUGAUCUCUGUUUUUAUUUGGCCGCUGAUCCAUUGGUUAUUUAGGAGAAUGUUGUUAAGCCUCAAUGUGUUUGUGGGCUUUUUUGUUUUCUUUGCAUAAUUUAUUUCUACUUUCAUACUUUUGUGAUCUGAGAAGCUGGUUGGAACAAUUUCAGUCUUUUUGAAUUUACUAAGGCUUUUUUUUGUCACCUAGUUUAUGAUCUAUUCUUGAAAAUGUUCCAUGUGCACUUGAAGAAUGUGUAUCCUGCUGCUUUUGGGUGAAGUGUUCUGUAGAUGUCUGGUCGGUCCAACUCUUCUAAUGUGUUGUUCAGUGCCUUUGUCUCCUUACAUAUUCUGUCUGGUUGAUCUGUCCUUUGGAGUGAGUGAUGUGUUGAAGUCUCCUAAAAUGAAUGCACUACAGUCUAUUUCCCCCUUUCAUUAUGUUAGUAUUUGUUUCAUAUACAUAAGUGCUCCUGUGUUGGGUGCAUAGACAUCUAUAACAGUUAUGUCCUCUUGUUGGACUGAUCCCUUUAUCAUUAUGUAAUAUCCUUGUCUCUUGUACAACAAUAAUUUAUCAAGAGUUUUCACACUUUCACUAUUCUCAACAUCAGUAAGGUAUAGGUCAGUAUAUUAUUAUUACUACUGUGCAGAUAUAAGCAUAAAAGGCUACAGAAGUUGUGACUUGUCUAAUAUCUCAUGAUUAGUAAGAAGACAGAGCUAGGACUCAAACCCAGGAUCUGAUUCCAAAGUGUAUGUUAUUUCCACUAGAACAUGCUUGUAACUCCAGGGGGAAAAUCCUGGGGCAAAAUACCUUUGGAACCGAAGUCAAUCAAAGAGAGAAAUGAAGUUUAAGAAACCUAUAUAUUUCUUACAAGAGGUGGUCCUGUCUCUCUCUUGACCAGGCUGCAGCAGAAGAGGGCCCCACCCAACCUCUCUGGUCCAGAAAAGCCCUC